AGCGAACGUUAGCGGCGGGCUUAACACAUGCAAGUCGAGCGAGAAAGGGGCUUCGGCCCUGAGUACAGCGGCGGACGGGUGAAUAACACGUAGGUAACCUUCCUUCCAGCGGGGGACAACGGUCCGAAAGGACCGCUAAUACCGCAUACGUUCCCUGGGACCCCUGGUCCCGGGGAGAAAGCUCCGCAAGGGGCACUGGAUGAGGGGCCUGCGUAGCAUCAGCUUAGUUGGUGGGGGUAAAUGGGCCCUACCAAAGGGCUAAGACGCUUAGCUGGGUCUGAGAGGAUGACUCAGCCACACUGGGACUGAGACACGGCCCCAGACUCCAGGGAGGCAGCAGUGGGGAAUAUUGGACAUGGGCGCAAGCCUGAUCCCAGCCACGCC
rnacentral:rRNA from 1 species